rnacentral:misc_RNA from 1 species
UCCAGUUUAUCACCGGCAGUCUCUCUAGAGUGCCCAGCAUUACCUGAUGGCAACUAAAGAUAAAGGUUGCGCUCGUUGCGGGACUUAACCCAACACUUCACAGCACGAGCUGACGACAGCCAUGCAGCACCUGUGUAAAAGUCCCUUGCGGGAAGACCGGCUUUCACCGGUUUGUCAAAUACAUGUCAAGCCUGGGUAAGGUUCUUCGCGUAGCCUCGAAUUAAACCACAUGCUCCACCGCUUGUGCGGGUCCCCGUCAAUUUCUUUGAGUUUCAGUCUUGCGACCGUACUCCCCAGGUGGUGGAUUUAAUGUGUUAACUGCGGCGCCGGAGGGAUCGACACCUCCAACACCUAAUCCACAUCGUUUACGGCAAGGACUAC